UACGGAGGGUGCAAACGUUGCUCGGAUUCAUUGGGCGUAAAGGGUGUGUAGGCGGUUGAGUUUGUCGACUGUGAAAGCUCUCGGCUUAACCGAGAAAGUGCAGUCGAAACGGCUCGACUUGAGUACCGGAGAGGGUGACGGAAUUCCCGGUGUAGUGGUGAAAUACGUAGAUAUCGGGAGGAACACCAGAGGCGAAGGCGGUCACCUGGACGGAUACUGACGCUGAGACACGAAAGCGUGGGGAGCAAACAGG
rnacentral:rRNA from 1 species